UGUGACAGACCAAUAGCUCCUUCUCUAUUCCGUGGGUGGUGGUGCAUGGCCGUUCUUAGUUGGGGGAGUGAUUUGUCUGGUUAAUUCCGAUGAGACCCUGGCAUGCUAACUAGUUAAGCGACCCCGGAGCCGUCGGUGUCCCCCAACUUCUUAGAGGGACAAGUGGUAUUCAGCCACCCGACAGGAGUUGUUGGUCGAAGGAAUACAAA
rnacentral:ncRNA from 1 species